rnacentral:lncRNA from 1 species
AUGGGCACCUCUCAGGACAACUGGCACAAGCACUGCAAGAUGGUGUGUGUGUGUGUGUGUGUGUGUGUGUGUGUGUGUAAGAGGAAACGCUACCACAGGAAGCGGAAGUAUGAACUGGGACAGCCUGGGGCCAGCACUAACAUCGACCCUCACACAUUCCAUGUUUGAGGAGGCAAUAAGAAGUACCAUGCCCUGAGAUUGGAUGUGGGUAACUUUUCCUGGCCCCUGAGUGUUGUACUCGAAAAACAAGGAUCAUUGAUGUUGUCUACAAAGCAUCUAAUAAUGAGCUUGUCUGCACCAAGACCCUGACAAAGAACAGCAUCGUGCUUAUUGACACCACACCAUACUGGCAGCGGUUCGAGUCCCACUAUGCACUGCCCCUGGGCCAACAAAGAAGGGGGCCAAUCUGACUCCUGAGGAGGAAGAGAUUUUAAACAAAAACCGAUCAAAGAAUACUCAAAAGAAAUAUGACGAAAGGAAAAAGAAUGCCAAAGUCAGCAGCCUCCUGGAGGAGCAGUCACAACACAGCAAGCUUCUUGUCUGCGUUGCCUCAAGACCAGGCCAGUGUGGCAGAGCAGACGGCUAUGUGCUCGGAAGGCAAGGAGCUGGAGUUCUAUCUGCGGAAGAUCAAAGCCCGGAAAGGCAAAUAA